GUGAACUUUGCCAUUUUCCGUGUAUAUAUUUUAUGUGACAAUUCUUUACUUAAAAAGAUAUUUUUCGCUGGUGUAUACUAACUGAAAGUCAUGUGAUUCACUAUGGUGGAGUUGACCAGUGCGUCGAAAAAACGUCACUCAGUCAUUUUGAAAUUUAAAUUACUGUCACAAAUUGCUUAGGCUGAGCAUGACAAUCUUAACACCUUCCGAAGGCGACACAGGAUUUAGCAAGAACGUAUUGACUUCUAUUUCAU
rnacentral:lncRNA from 1 species